GAUGAACGCUGGCGGCGUGCCUAAUACAUGCAAGUCGAGCGAACAGACGAUGAGCUUGCUCCUCUGACGUUAGCGGCGGACGGGUGAGUAACACGUGGAUAACCUACCUAUAAGACUGGGAUAACUUCGGGAAACCGGAGCUAAUACCGGAUAAUAUAUUGAACCGCAUGGUUCAAUAGUGAAAGACGGUUUUGCUGUCACUUAUAGAUGGUUCCGCGCCGCAUUAGCUAGUUGGUAAGGUAACGGCUUAUCAAGGCAACGAUGCGUAGCCGACCUGAGAGGGUGGUCAGCCACACUGGGACUGAGACCCGGUCCAGAGUCCUACGGGAGGCAGCAGGAGGGAAUCGUCCGCCAUGGGCGAAAGACUGACGGAGCAACGCCGCGGGAGGGAUGAAGGUCUUCGGGUCGGAAAAGUCUGUUAUUAGGGAAGAACAAGUGUGUAAGUAACAAGGCACGUCUUGACGGUACCUAAUCAGAAAGCCACGGCUUACUUCGGGC
rnacentral:rRNA from 1 species